AGUCUUGAAAAUUAGAGUGAUCAUGUGGAAGUAAGUGAAAGCCACUCAUUUAUAUGAUACUAUCUUGCACCUCACUACAUUCUUGACUUGUUAGCAAAUAAAUGGGGAGUAAUGGAACUUGAGUUAGAGUCUGCUUAAAUAUGAUAGCAAUAAGUCUUUAUUAUCCUUGCAAUUCUAAGUUCAUACAAUAAUACUUGUUCAAAUUUUGAGUUAAACAUUAGAAAUCCCUGACUAAUGAAGUUU
rnacentral:lncRNA from 1 species